AUUUGGGAGGAGAAGAAAAGAGAGAGAGAACUCGUGGGAGAAAGAAAGAAGAGAAAGGAAGAAGGGCUCGAGGUCUCUAAGGUUCUAAUCCCACAAGAGCAUAAGGAUUGUUGUUAGGGUUUCAACCAACAAGAGGGUGUUGGAGACUAGCAAAAAGAGGGUGACCAUAACUAUUUUUGGGUUCUUUGAUUUCUAUCAAAGGAGGUAGCAAAUAGGUUUCUCUAUGGCACGCGUGGUGAUGUGGGAAGUUCUGUCAACCUGGUGUGUAUGGCGUGGGGGCAUCCUAUGGACGAGAAACGAUCAUUUUAAAACGUCAUUUUCUUUUAAUAACGUUAUGUUUAAUGGGACUUUUUAAAUUUAUCAGUGGGACUUGAACUUUUGGUUGUUUAAGAACUUUGAAUGAAAAACUAAUAUUUUUCUUUUUAAACUAUUGGGCCCAACUUGCAUGUUUUUAGCAAGACCCCACUGAAAUCUUUAUAAUAAGUGGCUUUC